GUUUUUUCCCUACCUUUAAACUUCCCUGUUACUUCUGUGUAGUUUAUUCCUAAAUGUAGCUAGCCUUGGCAUCAGAAGUUUUAGUUUCUUGUCUCCAGAUACUUGCUAGACAUUUUCACUUAGCUUUUUAGUUUUCAUUUCAAUAAUGAAAUUCCUCAUAUUUAUCUUUUCCCCAGACCACACAAAACAUUGACUUUUCUCCUUGGUUUUUUAUUUUGUUAAUAGUGGUAUCAUUUCCACCUAAUUUUCCCAAUAUCUAAACCCUGAUUUCUUUACUACUCUCCCUUCCCUUACCUACCUGUACCCGAGAUGUACUUAGUCACCACAUAAUGCUGAUUUUGUAUUUUUCCAAUAUUUUACUAUGACAAUAUUCAAACAUUCAUCCAAGUUGAAUUUUAAAAUGAAGUCAUAUCUAUCACUUAGAUUCUAUCAUUAACAUUUAUACUUUAUCACAUAUCUAUCCAUCUUCCCCUCCAUCCAUCUCUAUUAAUCCAUCUUCUUUUUGAUACAUUAAGUAAAUUGUAGACAUUUGUACACUUCCCCAUAAAAACUUCAGGAUACAUAUCAUUAAGUAGUUUUUUCCUUUUGAUGUGCAGUUUACAUAUAAUGAAAUGUACAAAACUUAAAUGCACAUUAGCUUACUUUUAACAUAUGCAUGCAUGCACUUGUGUAACCCAAAUCCCUAUCAAAGUAUAAAGUAUUAACAUUGUCCCACAAAUUUCCCUCAUGCUCCUUCCCAGUUUUUCCCGUGCUCUCCCUAGAGGCAACCACUGUUUGGACUUUUUUCUACCAUAGAUUAGUUUUACCUGUUUUAGAAUUUUAUAGAAAUGUAAUCAUAUAGUAUAUAAUCUUUAUGGAAAGCUUCUUAAACUUGGCAUAAUUUUGAGAUUUGUCUGUUGUUGCAUGUGUCAGUAGUCCAUUUGUUUUCAUGGCCGAGUAGCAUUUCAUUGUAUGACUGUUCCACAGUUUGUCCAUUCUCCUGUUGGUGAUAGAUAGCUGGACUGUUUCCAGUUUGGGGCUGUUACAAAAAAAGCUGCUAACAAAAAAAGCUGCUAUGAACAUUCUUGUAGAAGUCUUUGUAAACAGAUGUUUUUAUUUCCCUUGGGCAAAUACCUAGCAGUGGAAUUGCUGGGUCAUAGAGAGAUAUGUGUUUACUUUUAUAAGUAACUGCCAAACAUUUUUCCAAAGUUGUACCAUUUUACACUUCCACCAGCAGCGUAUGAGAAUUCCAGUAGUUUCUCUUGCUCACCAACGUUUAUUGUCGCCACACUCCUUAACUUUAUCCAUUCUGGUGACUGAUCAUGUUGUAAAAAAAUCUAUUUUAUAGAGCAGUUUUCUGUUUCUUGCCAAAUUGAGAGGAAGGCAUAGGGAUUUCCCAUUUUCCACCGGCCCCCACAUGUCCGUAGCCUUCCAUAUUAUCAGUGUCCCCCACCAUACCAGAGUGUGGAAUAUUUGAUACAAUGAUGAACCUACCUUGGCACAUCAUUAUCAUCCAGAGGCCAUAGUUUAUAUUAGUGUUCAUUCUUGCUCUUGCACUUUCAUGAGUUUGGAAAAAUGAAUGAUGACAUGUAUCCUUAAUUAUAGCAUCACAUGGAUGCUAUAAUGGAGCAUUUCUACCCCAGAAAUCUGUGCUCUGCCUAUUAUUAUUCAUCCCCCAACUCCUGUCAAUCACUGAUUUUUUACUGUCUCCAUAGUUUUGACUUUUCCAGAAUGGCAUAUAGGUGCAGUCAUGCAAUAUAUAGCCUUUUCAGAAUGGCUCUUAGCAAUAUAUAUUUAAGUUUCCUCACCAAAUCAUUAUCUGAAUGUACCACAGUUUAUAGAUCCAUUCACCUACUGAAUAACAUCUUGGUUGCUCCCACUUUUGGUUACAGUUGCCCUAAACAUCCAU
rnacentral:lncRNA from 10 species